UGGUGUAGCGGUGAGCACUUCGGACUCUGAAUCCGGCAACCUGAGUUCGAAUCUCGG
rfam:Schistosoma mansoni strain Puerto Rico chromosome 1, complete genome